UCUUGUUGUUAAACCCUAUUUCUUUGAGGAAUAAGAUCGGUAUUUUACGUUGAAAUCUUGCUUUCUUUUUGUGUAGACGUUCUUCGCAAUUUUCAACCCCUUUGUCUGUUAUUUAAAUGUUGUUCAUCGAUUUGUAUGGAUAUAUAUUCUUUUCUGGAAUUUGGUGGUUAUUAUCGUUGGUAAACACGGGUAUACAUUUGUUAUUUAGCAUAUCCACCUUCUCGUUUGGUGUUUCAGCUAUUCUGUCUUCAAAUUUCAAUGUUUCACUGCUAAUUUUAUUUUUCCUUCAUUAGAUGUUGUAUCUUUUUCGGGAUCUAUCAGUUUAUUCAGAUAUUUGUGGUAAGAAGUAUAAUUUCGUAACGAAGAGUCUUUCUGAAUUGUCUGAUAACUUCCGCUUCUCUGCUAUUCCUCGUUCAAUGCUUGGUUAUACAGACUUUCUUUCUUUCGGAUUAUUCUGUUAAUUUCCUUUGUUAUCCAUGGUACAGUUGUUUUUUUCUUUAAUGACAUCUUUUAUGUCUUGUUGUCCAUAGCUUCCAAAACAGUUGUAUUAAAAUAUGUUCAGUUCUCUUACACAGAUGGUGACGAUCUUCAAUCUG
rnacentral:lncRNA from 1 species